AUCAAAAGGGCUGUUCUGUACCACUGGGUUAAACAUCGGUCAGGUUUUGUGCAAAGGGAUCAUUGGUGGCCAGGCUAAGGAUGGGAUAUACUUGGAUAUGCCUGGAUUCAUACCUGAAUAAUCUACUGACUCAGCAGAUGAUGUAAGAGAGCUGAUGUGGGACAAGAACCUGUAGGGAUGAAAAAGUGACUACCAUCUAAGAUGGGCAUAACAAAGCUCCUCCUGGCUGGUAAGACCCAGGCUAAUUUUUGACUUUCCAGGCAGAACUGUCACUGCAAAUCACAAAGGUCCCAGGCAAAAUCUUGGGUGUGUUAAUGAGCAGAACACAAACAUAGUAAAUCCACCCAAGGAAAGUGGAC